CCUACGGGUGGCUGCAGUAGGGAAUCUUCCACAAUGGGCGAAAGCCUGAACCAGCCAAGUAGCGUGCAGGAUGACGGCCCUACGGGUUGUAAACUGCUUUUAUACGGGAAUAACGCGCCUUACGUGUAGGGCUUUGCAUGUACCGUAUGAAAAAGGACCGGCUAAUUCCGUGCCAGCAGCCGCGGUAAUACGGAAGGUCCGGGCGUUAUCCGGAUUUAUUGGGUUUAAAGGGAGCGUAGGCCGCAUGUCAAGCGUGCGGUGAAAUGUCCGGGCUCAACCCGGGCCUUGCAGCGCGAACUGGCGUGCUGGAGUCCGCGGAAGGCAGGCGGAAUUCGUGGUGUAGCGGUGAAAUGCUUAGAUAUGACGAAGAACCCCGAUUGCGAAGGCAGCUUGCUGCAGCGGAACUGACGCUGAUGCUCGAAAGCGCGGGUAUCGAACAGGAUUAGAUACCCUUGUAGUC
rnacentral:rRNA from 1 species